rnacentral:rRNA from 1 species
GGUUAAUGCUAGCUACAGGCUUAACACAUGCAAGUCGAGGGGUAACAAGAGAAAAGCUUGCUUUUCUUGUUGACGACCGGCGCACGGGUGAGUAACGCGUAUCCAACCUGCCUAUAACUAGGGAAUAACCUUGCGAAAGUAAGACUAAUACCCUAUGAUUUCCUUUGAUGACAUCAGAUUAGGAAUAAAGAUUUAUCGGUUAUAGAUGGGGAUGCGUCUGAUUAGCUUGUUGGCGGGGUAACGGCCCACCAAGGCAACGAUCAGUAGGGGUUCUGAGAGGAAGGUCCACCACAUUGGAACUGAGACACGGUCCAAACUCCUACGGGAGGCAGCAGUGAGGAAUAUUGGUCAAUGGGCGGAAGCCUGAACCAGCCAAGUAGCGUGCAGGAUGACGGCCCUAUGGGUUGUAAACUGCUUUUAUACAGGAAUAAAGUUAGCCACGUGUGGUUAUUUGUAGGUACUGUAUGAAUAAGGACCGGCUAAUUCCGUGCCAGCCGCCGCGGUAA